GACGAACGCUGGCGGCGUGCUUAACACAUGCAAGUCGAACGAAGAGCGAUGGAAGCUUGCUUCUACCAAUCUUAGUGGCGGACGGGUGAGUAACGCGUAAUCAACCUGCCCUUCAGAGGGGGACAACAGUUGGAAACGACUGCUAAUACCGCAUACGAUCUAAUCUCGGCAUCGAGGGUAGAUGAAAGGUGGCCUCUACAUGUAAGCUAUCACUGAAGGAGGGGAGUGCGUCUGAUUAGCUAGUUGGAGGGGUAACGGCCCACCAAGGCGAUGAUCAGUAGCCGGUCGGAGAGGAUGAACGGCCACAUUGGGACUGAGACACGGCCCAGACUCCUACGGGAGGCAGCAGUGGGGAAUCUUCCGCAAUGGACGAAAGUCUGACGGAGCAACGCCGCGUGCGUGAUGACGGCCUUCGGGUUGUAAAGCUCUGUUAAUCGGGACGAAAGGCCUUCUUGCGAAUAGUGAGAAGGAUUGACGGUACCGGAAUAGAAAGCCACGGCUAACUACGUG
rnacentral:rRNA from 1 species